rnacentral:rRNA from 1 species
GGUUAAGCGACUAAGCGUACACGGUGGAUGCCCUGGCAGUCAGAGGCGAUGAAGGACGUGCUAAUCUGCGAUAAGCGCCGGUAAGGUGAUAUGAACCGUUAUAACCGGCGAUUUCCGAAUGGGGAAACCCAGUGUGAUUCGUCACACUAUCAUUAACUGAAUCCAUAGGUUAAUGAGGCGAACCGGGGGAACUGAAACAUCUAAGUACCCCGAGGAAAAGAAAUCAACCGAGAUUCCCCCAGUAGCGGCGAGCGAACGGGGAGGAGCCCAGAGCCUGAAUCAGCAUGUGUGUUAGUGGAAGCGUCUGGAAAGGCGCGCGAUACAGGGUGACAGCCCCGUACACAAAAGCGCAUGUGUUGUGAGCUCGAUGAGUAGGGCGGGACACGUGGUAUCCUGUCUGAAUAUGGGGGGACCAUCCUCCAAGGCUAAAUACUCCUGACUGACCGAUAGUGAACCAGUACCGUGAGGGAAAGGCGAAAAGAACCCCGGCGAGGGGAGUGAAAAAGAACCUGAAACCGUGUACGUACAAGCAGUGGGAGCCCCACCACUAAGCCAGUGGUGAACUCCACAUACGCAUCCUUUGCUGAGGAUACGGUUAACGGAGCGAAAGCGACGUUCAACCGCAAAAGAAGCAGAGGGGGCUUAGUGGUGGGGUGACUGCGUACCUUUUGUAUAAUGGGUCAGCGACUUAUAUUCUGUAGCAAGGUUAACCGUAUAGGGGAGCCG